rnacentral:rRNA from 1 species
AUUGAACGCUGGCGGCAGGCCUAACACAUGCAAGUCGAGCGGAUGAGAGGAGCUUGCUUCUCGAUUCAGCGGCGGACGGGUGAGUAAUGCCUAGGAAUCUGCCUGGUAGUGGGGGACAACGUUUCGAAAGGAACGCUAAUACCGCAUACGUCCUACGGGAGAAAGCAGGGGACCUUCGGGCCUUGCGCUAUCAGAUGAGCCUAGGUCGGAUUAGCUAGUUGGUGAGGUAAUGGCUCACCAAGGCGACGAUCCGUAACUGGUCUGAGAGGAUGAUCAGUCACACUGGAACUGAGAAACGGUCCAGACUCCUACGGGAGGAAGCAGUGGGGAAUAUUGGACAAUGGGCGAAAGCCUGAUCCAGCCAUGCCGCGUGUGUGAAGAAGGUCUUCGGAUUGUAAAGCACUUUAAGUUGGGAGGAAGGGUUGUAGAUUAAUACUCUGCAAUUUUGACGUUACCGACAGAAUAAGCACCGGCUAACUCUGUGCCAGCAGCCGCCGUAACAC